GGACGAGUCCAUGGCCUAUCGGCUUGUUGGUGAGGUAAGAGCUCACCAAGGCUAUGACGGGUAGCUGGUCUGAGAGGACGACCAGCCACACUGGGACUGAGACACGGCCCAGACUCCUACGGGAGGCAGCAGUGGGGAAUAUUGGGCAAUGGGCGAAAGCCUGACCCAGCGACGCCGCGUGGGUGAUGAAGGCCUUCGGGUUGUAAAACCCUUUCGUGCGGAAAGAACAGCCCUGUAGUUAAUACCUGCAGGGUUUGACGGUACCGCAGGAAGAAGCACCGGCUAACUCCGUGCCAGCAGCCGCGGUAAUACGGAGGGUGCAAGCGUUGUUCGGAAUUAUUGGGCGUAAAGGGCGCGUAGGUGGUUGUGAUAGUCAGAUGUGAAAUCCUUUGGCUUAACUGAAGAACUGCAUCUGAAACUUCAUAACUCGAGUACAGGAGAGGGAAACGGAAUUCCCGGUGUAGAGGUGAAAUUCGUAGAUAUCGGGAGGAACACCAGUGGCGAAGGCGGUUUCCUGGCCUGAUACUGACACUGAGGCGCGAAAGCGUGGGGAGCGAACGGGAUUAGAUACCCUGGUAGUCCACGCGGUAAACGAUGAACACUAGGUGUGGGAGGUGUAAUCCCUUCUGUGCCGAAGCUAACGCGUUAA
rnacentral:rRNA from 1 species